AACGCGAAGAACCUUACCCAGGCUCGAAAUACAGAGGGCGAUAUCAGAAAUGGUAUCUUCCGCAAGGACCUCUGCAUAGGUGCUGCAUGGCUGUCGUCAGCUCGUGCCGUGAGGUGUUGGGUUAAGUCCCGCAACGAGCGCAACCCUUAUCAUUAGUUGCCAACACGUAAGGUGGGGACUCUAAUGAGACUGCCUGGGUUAACCAGGAGGAAGGUGAGGAUGACGUCAAGUCCGCAUGGCCUUUAUGUCUGGGGCUACACACGUGCUACAAUGGUCGGUACAGAAGGCAGCAAGACCGCAAGGUGGAGCAAAUCCGUAAAGCCGAUCACAGUUCAGAUUGUAGUCUGCAACUCGACUACAUGAAGUUGGAAUUGCUAGUAAUGACGAGUCAGCAACAUCGUCGUGAAUACGUUCCCGGGCCUUGUACACACCGGUACUA
rnacentral:rRNA from 1 species